rnacentral:rRNA from 1 species
UACGAAGGGGGCUAGCGUUGCUCGGAAUGACUGGGCGUAAAGGGCGCGUAGGCGGAUGGCACAGUCAGAUGUGAAAUUCCUGGGCUUAACCUGGGGGCUGCAUUUGAUACGUGUGAUCUGGAGUGAGGAAGAGGGUUGUGGAAUUCCCAGUGUAGAGGUGAAAUUCGUAGAUAUUGGGAAGAACACCGGUGGCGAAGGCGGUCUGCUGGGCAGUAGCUGACACUGAGGCGCGACAGCGUGGGGAGCAAACAGG